rnacentral:rRNA from 1 species
CGAGUGAAGCGGGAUGAGCUCAAAUUUGAAAGCCGGCCUUACCGCCCGCAUUGUAAUCUCGAGACGUGUUUUCCGUGCUGGACCGUGGACAAGUUCCUUGGAAUUGGAUGUCAUAGAGGGUGAAAACCCCGUACAUGCCGCGGACGCCCAGUGCUUUGUGAUACACAUUCGAAGAGUCGAGUUGUUUGGGAAUGCAGCUCAAAGUGGGUGGUAAAUUCCAUCUAAAGCUAAAUAUUGGGGAGAGACCGAUAGCAAACAAGUACCGUGAGGGAAAGAUGAAAAGCACUUUGGAAAGAGAGUUAAACAGUACGUGAAAUUGUCAGAAGGGAAGCGCUUCAAGUUAGUUGUGUGUGGUGGUGCUCAGCCGCAAGGCGUUUUCACCGCUACACAGGCCAGCAUCGAUUGCAGGGGAUGGAGAAUUGGGCGAGGAAUGUGGCACCCCCGGGUGCGUUAUAGCCUCACCCCGGAUACAUCCCCCGCGAUCGAGGACUGCAGCGCUCGCGCGCUUAGG